UGGGGAAUAUUGGACAAUGGGGGCAACCCUGAUCCAGCCAUGCCGCGUGAGUGAUGAAGGCCUUAGGGUUGUAAAGCUCUUUUACCAGGGAUGAUAAUGACAGUACCUGGAGAAUAAGCUCCGGCUAACUCCGUGCCAGCAGCCGCGGUAAUACGGAGGGAGCUAGCGUUGUUCGGAAUUACUGGGCGUAAAGCGCGCGUAGGCGGCCAUUCAAGUCAGAGGUGAAAGCCCGGGGCUCAACUCCGGAACUGCCUUUGAAACUAGAUGGCUAGAAUAUGGGAGAGGUGAGUGGAAUUCCGAGUGUAGAGGUGAAAUUCGUAGAUAUUCGGAAGAACACCAGUGGCGAAGGCGACUCACUGGACCAUUAUUGACGCUGAGGUGCGAAAGCGUGGGGAGCAAACAGGAUUAGAUACCCCCGUAGUCC
rnacentral:rRNA from 1 species